rnacentral:rRNA from 1 species
AAACUCAAAGGAAUUGACGGGGGCCCGCACAAGCGGUGGAGCAUGUGGUUUAAUUCGACGCAACGCGAAGAACCUUACCAGGGCUUGACAUCUUCUGACCGCUUAAGGAAACUUAAGCUUUCCGGAAGGUUUACUUUCUGGACAGAAAGACAGGUGGUGCAUGGUUGUCGUCAGCUCGUGUCGUGAGAUGUUGGGUUAAGUCCCGCAACGAGCGCAACCCCUACGGUUAGUUGCUAACGGGUAAGGCCGAGCACUUUAGCCGAACUGCCGUUGACAAAACGGAGGAAGGCGGGAUGACGUCAAAUCAUCAUGCCCUUUAUGUCCUGGGCUACACACGUGCUACAAUGGCCUGUACAAAGGGCAGCAAAGGGGCGACCCGGAGCAAAUCCCAAAAAACAGGUCUCAGUUCGGAUUGCAGGCUGCAACUCGCCUGCAUGAAGGCGGAAUCGCUAGUAAUCGCAGGUCAGCAUACUGCGGUGAAUACGUUCCCGGGCCUU